GAUGAACGCUGGCGGCGUGCCUAAUACAUGCAAGUCGAGCGAACGGACGAGGAGCUUGCUCCUCUGAUGUUAGCGGCGGACGGGUGAGUAACACGUGGAUAACCUACCUAUAAGACUGGGAUAACUUCGGGAAACCGUAGCUAAUACCGGAUAAUAUUUUGAACCGCAUGGUUCAAUAGUGAAAGACGGUCUUGCUGUCACUUAUAGAUGGAUCCGCGCUGCAUUAGCUAGUUGGUAAGGUAACGGCUUACCAAGGCAACGAUGCAUAGCCGACCUGAGAGGGUGAUCGGCCACACUGGAACUGAGACACGGUCCAGACUCCUACGGGAGGCAGCAGUAGGGAAUCUUCCGCAAUGGGCGAAAGCCUGACGGAGCAACGCCGCGUGAGUGAUGAAGGUCUUCGGAUCGUAAAACUCUGUUAUUAGGGAAGAACAAAUGUGUAAGUAACUGUGCACAUCUUGACGGUACCUAAUCAGAAAGCCACGGCUAACUACGUG
rnacentral:rRNA from 1 species